ACUGUUAGUAUCUAUAUAUCUAUAUUUAAAAGACAUUAAGAUUAACUACUUCGGUGUUUGGAUAUUUUCCAAAAGUUUGAACAUGAUCGUUUUGGAAAUGGCGAUAUAAUAUCAAAAUUUGAUAAAAAGUUGUCAACAUGUCUGAAAACGAAAACACUUGUGACCUUUGUUAUGAGGAUUUCGACAGAGACAACCACGAACCAAGGAAACUGCCAUGCUGCCAUACAUACUGUUCACAAUGUUUGGAUAGAAUGGUGUCACGAAAUGCAUCUAUCACAUGCCCAAAUGAUCGUACAAUUCACACAUUAGGAGGUCUUGGUGUUUUCGGUUUACCUCUAGAUUCAUCUAAACUCGCAGACAUUGAUAAAAGAGAAGUAACAUCUCCUGUAGGAAGUAUAAACUUCAGCAGCGACUUUGUAGAUCCGUCUAGACCGACCACAGCAUGGUCAUAUAGACACGCACAAAAUCAUGUCAAUAAAAGUCCCACACCAGCUCUAUCUCACCGUGAACGAUACAAUAUACCACAAUCAACUGGCAACAAUAAUCACACGAUGCCGUAUCCCAAUAUGUCGUAUAAUUACAAUACACAAUUUCAUGGUUUGUCACAAAUUCCUAUAUAUGGUCAGCAUAUAACACCAAGUGGGUGGCAGUCUCCAAAUCAGUGGAGUUAUCAUUUCAAUAAUACCAGCCAGUUUCAUCAGCCAAUGAUGACGACCUCUACAACUGUUACACAAGCUGGGAACAGUGAACAAAACAUCAUAGUAUGUUCUCCUGAUGGACAAAUAGUAAUAAGUCAGGGUGGAAAUAACCAGUUGGUUAAUUUUGUUCAUUUCUAAAUAAAAAUCAGAAUAAAGCAAAUAUGUGAACAAUUCUUUCAUACAUAAAUAGUCGAUUUUUUAAAAAUCUAUGUAUAUAAUGUAUCUUAUUUUAUGUUUGUUUAUUUGAUUAACAUUGGUUUUAUAUUUACGGUCGCUCAUUUUAGAUUAAAACGUUAAUUAUU